GUGGAAGGAAACCGUGACCCCGGACAAGCUGAAUGCAUAAGAUGCUGCACCACAUGAAACCACUCUCAUCUUCAGCAACCUAAGCCUGAAAGAGCACAAACCUGAGACCUUUAUAGCAGCAUCCUGAAUUUCCUUCUGAUGAGCAGUCAUCAAGACUGCUGGACUCAAAGUUACCUAAAGUUUUCUCCUCACCCCCACCAGUCGGGGCAGACAG